UAGGGAAUCUUCCACAAUGGACGCAAGUCUGAUGGAGCAACGCCGCGUGAGUGAAGAAGGUUUUCGGACCGUAAAGCUCUGUUGUUGGUGAAGAAGGAUAGAGGUAGUAACUGGCCUUUAUUUGACGGUAAUCAACCAGAAAGUCACGGCUAACUACGUGCCAGCAGCCGCGGUAAUACGUAGGUGGCAAGCGUUGUCCGGAUUUAUUGGGCGUAAAGCGAGCGCAGGCGGAAGAAUAAGUCUGAUGUGAAAGCCCUCGGCUUAACCGAGGAAUUGCAUCGGAAACUGUUUUCUUGAGUGCAGAAGAGGAGAGUAGAACUCCAUGUGUAGCGGUGGAAUGCGUAGAUAUAUGGAAGAAUACCAGUGGCGAAGGCGGCUCUCUGGUCUGCAACUGACGCUGAGGCUCGAAAGCAUGGGUAGCGAACAGGAUUAGAUACCCUGGUAGUCCAUGCCGUAAACGAUGAGUGCUAAGUGUUGGGAGGCUUCCGCCUCUCAGUGCUGCAGCUAACGCAUUAAGCACUCCGCCUGGGGGAGUACGACCGC
rnacentral:rRNA from 1 species